ACAAAUCGGCUAAGGACAAUAUCAAAAUAGUUCGUUUAGAGAUUCAAAGGCUCAUUGACAAAGGUUGCGUAACAGAGGUCAGUAACAUUCCUUUUGUGGUUAAUCCAUUGGCUGUAGCUUUCAACAAAGCAGGUAAACCUCGUUUGGUUUUGGUUUGUAGGCACAUCAAUAGUUGUAUUCAGAAUGGAGGACGUUAAAGUUGCAAGAGAAAUAUUUCAGAAAGGAGAUUUCAUAUUUAGUUUCGAUUUAAAAUCGGCAUAUCAUCACAUCGAAAUAUCAUAACAUCAUAAAUAAUAUUUAGGUUUUCAAUGGGAAAUUGAUGGCGUUGAGUUAAAUGUUGAGAAGAACAUAGAGGACAUUUUAAUUACGACAGGUGUGGAUCUGGAAUCAUCGGACAACGCAAUAUUGGCGGCAAAAAUGAGUGAAUAUAUUCUGAAAUCUAAAAGUGCAAACACCAGCAAGAAAUAUCUUUCGUCUUUCAACAGAUGGUCAAACUUUAUCAACAGCAAAGGAAAUCAGCCAUACCAGCAAAUCCAAUUCAUAUUUCACAUUUUUGAAUAUUGGAUGCUCUUUUCAUGUGAUUUCUAGCGCUUUAUAUGCUAUAAAGUGGGCACAUUCUAUAUUAGGCCAUAAGGAUCCGACCGAACAUCCCUUCGUGCGGAAUUUAGUGGAGUCUUCCAAGCGUCAUAAUAAGUCUAGAGUUGCCAAAAAAGAAAUUGUCAGUCAACGAUUUAAUUUUACUUUGUGAUCUACAUGUUAACAGCACCAAUUUGUCGGAAGUGCGCGAUUUGUGCAUGAUUCUACUUUCUUUUGCUGGAUUUUUGCGCUUCGAUGAACUAAGUUCGCUUCGUUGUUCAGACAUUACCUUCAUGGAUGGAUAUGUAAAAAUAUUUAUUAACAAAAGCAAAACCGAUAAAUAUAGACAGGGGAAUGGAAUUCUAAUUGCUUCGGGCCUUAGUUCAGCUUGUCCAGUCAGAAUGCUUCAACGUUACGUAUCAUUAAGAACUAUAUAUAUUUCUUCAGAUCAUUUUUUGUUUAAGGCGGUAUUUAAAUCAAAAGAUGGUUUAAAGCUGAUUUAUAAAGACAAAAAGCUUAGUUGCACACGCGCAAGGGAGUGCAUUUUGUCCAAGCUUAAGUCUGUUACGGGAAACAUUAAUAUUGGUUUACAUUCUUUGCGUUCAGGAGGAGCGACAGCUGCCGCAAAUUCCAAUGUAAAUGAGCGUUGCUGGAAGAAACAUGGUAGAUGGGCGUCAGAUUCGUCCAAGGAUGGUUAUGUAAAAAAAACAGUUUAGAGAACAGACUCUCUGUUUAAAAAAAGCUAGGAUUGUGACUGUUUAUAUAUGAUAUACGUGAGUGUGUGUAUCAAACAUGGGCUUCAUUUCCAGUUACAGUUUUUAUCAGUAUAUUAUCAUGCAUAUAUUUUAGCUAGGUCUUUAUUUUCCUAUAUAUUUAAUAUACUGCUAACUUUUGGACAUUUAUUCUAAGCUUGUCUGGCUUACACCAAAGUUGUGUUUGGUUGUCUUGUACGCAAAAGGAUUGCAUUCACAGAAGUGUAUAUUAUACUGUAGUUUUUCCGAAUUUCGAAGAAUAGCGGAAAAACGUUGUAUGAUAGGAACGUGUUCGAAUGCCUAUGCGUAGUAAUACAAGGCGUGGCCAUAAGAAGGCCUAUAUAUAGUGUCGAUAUCAUGAGUAAGGUCAUUCUAAGCCAGUCUCACGAAGUGCACGUAGCACAAUUUUUAAUUAUUAUAUUUAAUUAUGGAUAAGGUCCUAUAUUCACCUUAGACUUUACUUAACACAGGUUUCCAUAGUUUUUUCAAAUAUUUUAUCUAUGGUUUUUCCUGGGCGGUUUUUAUCGUCAAUGAUGGGGGGUUUCUCGACAUUUUGUCAUUUGAUUCAGUACUCGAAUAAUACUUGUUCAUGUCAGUUACCAUGUAUGUAGUAUAUUUGUUGUAAAGUUAUUAAACGCUGGCUGCCCGACAAGCUUGCCUGGCUUACACCCA